rnacentral:lncRNA from 1 species
AAGAUUAAAGUGAGAAACACGCCUUGCAGCGGAAGUUACUAAUUUGGACCUGAGUGGUACAGUUUCCAUAGCAACUUUGGUUUCCUGGGAAACUCCCAAAGGUUGUCAUAGCAUCUGUUCUUCCCCUCCUUCAUCUUCUGCUGUUUCUAUGGUAACCAUUCCAGAUGGUUCCAACUUCUGUGUUUCCACAGAAAAGCUGCUGCUCUGAUAAAGCACACAUAUACACACACACAUACAUGCACACAAAUGUACACCAUUAAUCCCUAAGAGAUUUAGUUGUGGAAGUUAAGUAUUAUUCUGUAUGUACCAUUUUUAGAUGGGCAACAUUUGAGAUGACUGCACAUCAUGAAGAAAAAAGUUAAUAUAACUGUACUUCACAUUAUAAUUAAAACCUGUUUGACCAAAGCAAAAGAAUUUCUCCCCUGCCAAUCUUCCACAUCUCUUGCAAUUUGAUAUCUGGAAUUAAUUCUAAAUGAGUUACCUGUACAACUGCAUAGAAUGUUUGAAAAGAUGGCAUUGCCCUCUGCUUUUAUUAGAAUAAAUCAUAAUGUUGAUUUAUAAUAAUUCUUUAUUGCAUAUGACCUAGCAUUAUGCAAAAAAAAACAAAACAAAAACCUCUUUUCAAAGCAAGUACAGCAUUGAAGAUCAAGACCAAAACAUUUAUUACAAAAGGAUGCAGACCUGGAAAAUAAUGGUGAUGAAAUGUUGGUUCAAAAAUACUUAAAAGUCCUCUGGGAAAUGUAUAUCCAUCUUCUCUCAAGUACACAUCUGCGGCUGUGGAAUAUCAGACAGACACAGAGCUCUUGCAAAGUUUCCCAGCCUCACGUUUUAACUCUACCUUUGCAAUUGGAACUGCAACAACAAAAUACUUCACAAGAUGAGAGCCAAAGUAAAUGGAGCAGAACAAAUUGAAACUGCAGACAACAGCUUCCUUCCUUACAGCAGAUGUGCUACCAGGCAGCCAUUCAACAUUCAUAGAGGCGUAAUAUUGUGCAGACCACCAGUAAUGUUAACAAUGAGAGGUACAAAUUAUUAAUAUCAACUGUGUGCCUCUGUAGAGUUGCUGGCUUCACAUUCCCAGUGUUCAUGUUUCCAGAGAAGUGUUUCUAACUUUAGCAACCUUAAGAUGUCUGGAGUUCAAUUCCCAG